CAUUCUGUGCCUUGAUGGUAAGCGCUUGUGGCUCUUCUUCUAGAGGAGGAAGCCUGCCGCUGCGCACCUUGCCUGAUUUUCCUUUUUUGUUUCUGCCGCGUACGAGUACAUCGCUGAUGAGCGGCGGUGGCAGCGAGGCUGAAACCGCCGAGCUGGUUCUGUAUCGACUCGAGGAAAUCGACGAGCUCCUCGCCACUGUCAGCGGCGACGAGGAUGACUCGCAGGCCGCCACCCUGGCGCAGUACCUGCGAGGUGGCCAGGAUCUGGAGAGUGCGUUGAGCCUGCAGGAGGAGCGGCUGCGCGGCUUCCGAGACACGUUCAUCCAGGCCCAUGUCAGCCAGGCGGAGAAGAUAGCGCAGCUCUAUCACGAGUUCGGCGCGUGCGAGCGACACAUCGUUGACUUCGAGGAGGAGAUUGUGGCGUUUCAGCGCAAGCUCGAGGGCAGCGCAAAUGACAUCGUCCACAUGCAGCAGCAGGCAGACGCCUUGGCGCGGAAGGUGAGCAACCGGCGCCAGGUAAGCAACAAGAUCAACGAGGUCUACACCACCCUUCAGAAGUGCGAUUCUUUCUGCGAUGUCAUCUCGAACAAGAGCGUCGACGCAAGCUAUCUGGCCAACUUGCGCGAGCUGAAUCGCCGGCUAGAGUUUCUCUCCGGCAACAAGGCCCUCCAGUUUUCUGCCGUCGGCAACGAAAUCCGGCCAAAAUUGACGGCCGCCGCGUACAAGGCGGGCGAUAAGCUGCAGCGCUUUCUCACCAAGAAGAUACUCGCGCUCGCUGAGGACCCGUCGCGCACAGCCGACGAGCAGCAGUCACUGGAGGAGAGCGCGCAAUUCGCGUUUCGCUUUCUUCAGCUCUACAACCCACCGGUGGCGAUAGAUGUCAUGAAGCUGUACAUCCGGUACAUGUCCCAGUCGUACGUAAGGCAGUUUCGCCUCUUGUUUGCCCAGCUCUCGGAGGUGUCGGCGGUACACGCUGACCCGCUCGAGCCGCUGGUGUCGGCGGAGGAAGCGCGAGACAUAACGAGCAAUCGUGACAUCGGCGCCCCGUCUGGCAACCAGGUGAACCCGGCCCUUGUGAACUUCCCAGGGCGUACGUUGGCGCGUCGCCAGCGGAGCGUGUCGCAGCACAUGCGCGGCUUCACCAGCUUCAUGUCCAAUGGUGCGGCUGUCUCGAGGACUGAGUCGCUUCGUCUUCUGCGUGCAGCUACCUUUGAGGACUCUGUAAAGGCGCUGAACGCGCUUCGGGUGCGUCACGGCAAGCUGUACGUUGACGACGCCGUAGCAGAACAGCUGGACGAGUGCAACAGCUGGACGUGGCAGUUUGUUCGCUGUUUCCAGACGCUGGUGAACACAUGCGAGUCUGAGUGCCGCUUCAUCGGCAACUUUUUCUGCGUGGCUGGCGACGUCGAGGGUGGUGAGGACUUCACGAGCGCGGAGCCGAUGGCACGCGCGGUGCUGGGGAGCGCCGUGCACAGCGUGGAAACCUCGAUUAUUGACGACCUGUCGAUCGUGAUGGAGCGCACCGAGGUGCUGGCGGCGUUGCGGGUGUUGGAGACGGUGAAGCAGCACCUCUGCACCUCACUCGAUCCCAUCCCGCUCCUGUUACUGAGUGGCGUGCUGGAGAUUUCGAAGUCGGCGUUGCGCAACUCGCUGCGGACGGCCUUCGAGAAUGACGGGCUCGCUUUGGCUUUCCUGCCGACGCUGAAGCUUUCUCCGUUCUAUCGCGCCGCUGCCGAGAACAGCAGCUGGGCAGGCAUCCUUGGCAACAAGCCGUACUGCGCCACGUUGGGCCCUCACCCGGCCGUCUACCGCGUCUGCGGAGUGCUUGGUCAGCUUGAGUACCUGAACACCGCGGCCGUGCGCGCCUCCGCGUUCACUGGUGGCACUGGUGUUGCCUUUGACCCAUCCGUAGCCACCUUCGUGAAGAACUGCCUCGCGCAUAUGAUGGCAUUUGUCGAUCAGCUAAAGCGCCGCCACACAAGCCCGCUGGCUCAGCAGGUGUUUGCUUGCACCAACGUGUACACGGUAAUGGCGACGUGGCGGGAGCUGAUGUCGGUCAGCGGCGACGGUGAACCAAGCUCGCCAACUGCGUCUCGCUUAACUUCUUCUGACGCGAGGAACUGCAGCGCGAGUGGUGGACGCUGGCAUUUCGCCAGUGACAUGUCGGAGCUGCCGAAGGUGUCACACGCAGAGGUUUCGGCUGCUGGCCGUGGCGCCGUUGCCAGCGGCACUUCGCACCACACACAGUACCUGGAGAGCCAGCUUCAGAAUGCCAUUCAGGGGUGGGUGAACGCCGAUCAGAAGAACGGCGAGUCACCGUGGAAUUACCUUCUCGCGUUUGUCGACGAAGCGGCAAAGGCGCUCGGCGAGGGUUUCUUCGGCUCCGCUAGUCAGCCACCAUUCACUACGUGUGGCCAAAAUUCGACGUCGGCAGCCCCGCCUCCACCACUCUCCGCUCUGCCUGCCGAGCUGAGCGAGUGUGCCGCAUUGCGGGUAGCCACGCAGCUUCACUCGCGAUGGCAGUCUCAAGCCAAGGCUGUCGCCGAGGUGGUGAGAAAGGCGGUGCAACAGUCACUGGGCCGCACUGUCAGCAAUGGUAGCGGUGACGGCACGACUACCGGCUGCACGGCGGCCGCUGCUGCAGUCCGGCAGCGGCAAUGCGAUGAGCUGUCCACGCUUGUGAUGCGUGCCAUCUUUUCGACUCUGACGGAGUCCAACCGAAAGCUGGCCGUCUUUGUAGCGCACUACCAUAGCGGCAACCGAGAGCUGCAGUCGAAGCUGGUCAGUAACACGACGAUGCUCCACGCACUGUCCCGUGUACUGGAGUCGAGCUCGUAGCUCUGUCGUCACUUAGUCGUUGCUGCGACGCUUUUGGUUGUAGUCGAUCCCCAUGUUUCGCUCGACAGGCGUGCGCGACGGCUGUCGUGGCGGCGCGUCUGUAGCCUCCGUCUCGGUGGCCGCACCGCUGUUGGUUUGCUCUGUCCGCGCGCCUCAUAUUCUUGGUCUCGGACGGGCCGCGCUCUCCCCCUCUCGCUGGAGGAUUUGGCUGUGUGUCCAUACUUCUUAUCGCCGCAAUUCCAGAGACGGUCUCUCCUCUGUCUUUCUGUUGUCCGUUGUUUGUGCUUGUGUCUUUCUUUCUUUCGCUGCUCGCCCUCUGUUUCUGUGGCAGUGCUCGUCGUACGCGUGCCUCUCACGGGCUUCUCCAGCCCACUGCUUGCGCUGUGCAGCCGUCGGUGAGUGGAGUGGGUGCACCGCACACACACAGCUAUGGAAUCGCCCAUGAACCUCCCCGCUUAUCCUCUGUGCAAAGUCCACACCCCCGGGCUCAGUUGUGGGCUGCGGUCUGUGUGAUCUACGUGUGCUUCGUGACCCCUGCCCUCUGCAUCUCAGUGUUUGCCGGCGUGAGUUCACGCCCCUUCCCUCCCACCACUACACGCCUUUCAUGCUUAGCCUUUUUUUUCCCACCGCGGAUAGUACCGGCCGCCUCCGUGCGUGAUAUAUCUCAGUGCCCAGUGCCCACUCUGUAUGGUGAGGAGCCAAGCACCCUGCAGGCCCGCCCUCGGGUACGGCCGGCGGGAGGGGGUGGAACCCUUGGUGUCGGCAGGACAGGCGUGGGGCUGGCGCUGUGCCGAAGAGACUUGCGGGCAUGAUGAUGCCUGUACAAAGUCGCUACGAGCGGUGCCGACGGUUCAGCGAAUAUACGCAUCCACCGACUGUGUUUUUUUUUUUGUUUGCGCGUGAGCUGCGAUGUGGUGAUGCCGAGCGUAGUCCUGGGUCUGGCCCGCGCUGCACGCCGUGCAAUUGCGGUGGGCUGAACGGCGCCGAGCGGUGUUGGGCCCAGUGCCUGGACGUAGCUCUAGCGCGGCAGAGGUAGGGGAACUGUGGCCGCGUGCGUCGACUUGUUCGCUGGCCUGUGGUGAAAUGGGCACUUCGCAUUCGGAGAGAAAAAAAGAAUCGCGUGCGUGACGCGUCAACGACCCUCUCGGGCUACGUGCUCUGCGCAACGAGAAGCGUCCUUCCUCUCAUCCUUUUCGCUGUGCUCAUAGAGGGGCCUCGUUUAAGUGAGCACAUGCAUCUGCGCACGUGAUGCAUGGGCGCACACGCUGCCGUGGAUGGGUCUGUCGUUGAUGGCGCACGUGCCGUAUGCUGAAAAGUGCAUCUGCGCACGGUGCCUCUCUCUUCCUCAUUGACAGCGCCAUGCCACCUCCUCUCUUCUCCUCUGCCCCAUCGGUCGCGUACUCGUGUCCCCUCGUGAAUGGUGCGUGGGUCGCGUCUUUUGUCUCCCUCGAUUCUUGAUUGCUGUUGCGCAUGCGUACUGUGGCGACCAG
rnacentral:misc_RNA from 1 species